rnacentral:rRNA from 1 species
GGUAAGACUGUGCAAGGAGCGGGGGGGAGAGGGGGGGGGUAAGGUGGAAUGGGAAGUGCGGGGCGUAAGGGUGGGGUAGGCGGCGUGGGAAGGCGAUGGUGGAAUCCCCGGGAUCAACCUGGGAAUGGCAGUCGAGACGGCCAGGGUAGAGUGUAGGAGAGGGUGGUGGAAUUCCCGGUGUAGCGGUGAAAUGCGUAGAUAUCGGGAGGAACAUCAGUGGCGAAGGCGACCGCCUGGCCUAACACUGACGCUGAGGUGCGAAAGCGUGGGUAGCAAACAGGAUUAGAUACCCGAGUAGUC